CAGCGCCACGAGUGGGGACCGGUAUUAUUGGGCCUAAAGCGUCCGUAGCCGGAUUAGUAAAUCUUUUGUGAAAUUGUUGGGCUUAACCUAACAGCGUGCAGAAGAGACUGCUGAUCUUGAGACUGGGAGGAGUCAGAGGUAUGCAUGGGGUAGUGGUAAAAUGCAAUAAUCCCAUGUGGACCACCUGUGGCGAAGGCGUCUGACUAGAACAGCUCUGACGGUGAGGGACGAAAGCUGGGGGAGCGAUCCGGAUUAGAUACCCGAGUAGUCC
rnacentral:rRNA from 1 species